rnacentral:rRNA from 1 species
UACGUAGGGUGCGAGCGUUGUCCGGAAUUAUUGGGCGUAAAGAGCUCGUAGGCGGUGUGUCGCGUCGGCCGUGAAAACCUGGGGCUCAACUCUGGGCUUGCGGUCGAUACGGGCAUCACUUGAGUUCGGCAGGGGAGACUGGAAUUCCUGGUGUAGCGGUGAAAUGCGCAGAUAUCAGGAGGAACACCGGUGGCGAAGGCGGGUCUCUGGGCCGAUACUGACGCUGAGGAGCGAAAGCAUGGGUAGCGAACAGG